AACGAACGCUGGCGGCAUGCCUAACACAUGCAAGUCGAACGAGACCUUCGGGUCUAGUGGCGCACGGGUGCGUAACGCGUGGGAACCUGCCCUUAGGUUCGGAAUAACUCCCCGAAAGGGGUGCUAAUACCGGAUAAUGUCUUCGGCCCAACGAUUUAUCGCCUUUGGAUGGGCCCGCGUUGGAUUAGCUAGUUGGUAGGGUAAAAGCCUACCAAGGCGACGAUCCAUAGCUGGUCUGAGAGGAUGAUCAGCCACACUGGGACUGAGACACGGCCCAGACUCCUACGGGAGGCAGCAGUGGGGAAUAUUGGACAAUGGGCGAAAGCCUGAUCCAGCAAUGCCGCGUGAGUGAUGAAGGCCUUAGGGUUGUAAAGCUCUUUUACCCGGGAUGAUAAUGACAGUACCGGGAGAAUAAGCUCCGGCUAACUCCGUG
rnacentral:rRNA from 1 species